rnacentral:rRNA from 1 species
AGAGUUUGAUCAUGGCUCAGGAUGAACACUGGCGGCGUGCCUAAUACAUGCAAGUCGAACGCUUUGUCUUUAAUUGAUCUGACGAGCUUGCUCUGAUGUGAUUUUAUCUGACAAAGAGUGGCGAACGGGUGAGUAACACGUGGGUAACCUACCUCUUAGCAGGGGAUAACAUUUGGAAACAAGUGCUAAUACCGUAUAAUACCAACAACCGCAUGGUUGUUGGUUGAAAGAUGGUUCUGCUAUCACUAAGAGAUGGACCCGCGGUGCAUUAGCUAGUUGGUAAGGUAAUGGCUUACCAAGGCAAUGAUGCAUAGCCGAGUUGAGAGACUGAUCGGCCACAAUGGGACUGAGACACGGCUCAUACUCCUACGGGAGGCAGCAGUAGGGAAUCUUCCACAAUGGGCGCAAGCCUGAUGGAGCAACGCCGCGUGUGUGAUGAAGGGUUUCGGCUCGUAAAACACUGUUAUAAGAGAAGAACGGCACUGAGAGUAACUGUUCAGUGUGUGACGGUAUCUUACCAGAAAGGAACGGCUAAAUACGUGCCAGCAGCCGCGGUAAUACGUAUGUUCCAAGCGUUAUCCGGAUUUAUUGGGCGUAAAGCGAGCGCAGACGGUUAUUUAAGUCUGAGGUGAAAGCCCUCAGCUCAACUGAGGAAUGGCUUUGGAAACUGGAUGACUUGAGUGCAGUAGAGGAAAGUGGAACUCCAUGUGUAGCGGUGAAAUGCGUAGAUAUAUGGAAGAACACCAGUGGCGAAGGCGGCUUUCUGGACUGUAACUGACGUUGAGGCUCGAAAGUGUGGGUAGCAAACAGGAUUAGAUACCCUGGUAGUCCACACCGUAAACGAUGAGUGCUAGAUGUUCGAGGGUUUCCGCCCUUGAGUGUCGCAGCU